AAAGCAGUGUGUACAGGCAGUGUGUAAUGCUGAGGUAUGCAAGAAUAUCUGGAAACCUCAAGGGCUCCCAUUCUUCAGGGAGUGUGCCUCUCAGUGUUAGAGUUGUAGGACAUGAUCCAGAAGAUGCGUAACUUUGAAAUGAAGGCAUCAAGAGGGGCUGAAUCCCAGUAUUUCUCUUUCCAGUGUUUUCAAUCAUUUUUUCUUUUUUCUGGUUUCUAUUUCUCUUCAUAUGAAAAAGGUAUUUGUUUUUAUUUUAUUUUUUUUUCUUUUUCAAAUAUCUAUGUUAUACAAUUUCCCCCUAUUACUUUAAGAAAAUGCUGUAAUUGUGGAGUCACAGAGCGAACUACGUUGGCAAGGACUCCGCAGAUUUUACAAUCAAACCUCCAACUUGAAGAAGAUGCAAAAAUAAAAUAAAAUGUCCUUAAGUUAUUUUUGACAAAAUCAUUAUGACGUGUUAUUUCCUGUUGUUUUUAUUUGUUUGUUUGUUUGUUUGUUUUGUUUUGUUUUACUGAGAGAGAGAGAGAGAGGGAGAAAUCAUAGAAUCAUAGAAUCCUUAGAGUUGGAAGCAACCUUUGAUAGUCAUCUGGUACAAAUCAUGUGUAUCUAUCCACAUUUCUUAAAAAUUCAGAUGUAAAAAAUGUACAGACAUUGCACUACAGAAGUUACCAGCAGUAUAUAAUAAAGCAUUUAGCUUUCUAAAUCCUG
ensembl:lncRNA